rnacentral:rRNA from 1 species
UACAGAGGUCUCAAGCGUUGUUCGGAUUCAUUGGGCGUAAAGGGUGCGUAGGUGGCGCCGUAAGUCGGGUGUGAAAUUUCGGAGCUUAACUCCGAAACUGCAUUCGAUACUGCGGUGCUUGAGGACUGGAGAGGAGACUGGAAUUCAUGGUGUAGCAGUGAAAUGCGUAGAGAUCAUGAGGAAGACCAGUGGCGAAGGCGGGC